rnacentral:rRNA from 1 species
UACGUAGGGGGGCAAGCGUUGUCCGGAAUCAUUGGGCGUAAAGCGCGUGUAGGCGGUUCGAUAAGUCUGCUGUGAAAGUCCAGGGCUCAACCCUGGGAUGCCGGUGGAUACUGUCGGGCUAGAGUGCGGAAGAGGCGAGUGGAAUUCCCGGUGUAGCGGUGAAAUGCGCAGAUAUCGGGAAGAACACCCGUGGCGAAGGCGGAUCUCUGGGCCUUACCUGACGCUCAGGCGCGAAAAGCUAGGGGGAGC